rnacentral:rRNA from 2 species
AUUGAACGCUGGCGGCAGGCUUAACACAUGCAAGUCGAGCGGAGUUGUGGUGCUUGCACCAUAACUUAGCGGCGGACGGGUGAGUAAUGCUUAGGAAUCUGCCUAUUAGUGGGGGACAACAUUUCGAAAGGAAUGCUAAUACCGCAUACGCCCUACGGAGGAGAGCAGGGGAUCUUCGGACCUUGUGCUAAUAGAUGAGCCUAAGUCGGAUUAGCUAGUUGGUGGGGUAAAGGCCUACCAAGGCGACGAUCUGUAGCCGGACUGAGAGGUUGAACGGCCACAUUGGGACUGAGACACGGCCCAGACUCCUACGGGAGGCAGCAGUGGGGAAUAUUGCACAAUGGGGGAAACCCUGAUGCAGCGACGCCGCGUGGAGGAAGAAGGUCUUCGGAUUGUAAACUCCUGUUGUUGAGGAAGAUAAUGACGGUACUCAACAAGGAAGUGACGGCUAACUACGUGCCAGCAGCCGCGGUAAAACGUAGGUCACAAGCGUUGUCCGGAAUUACUGGGGUGUAAAGGGAGCGCAGGCGGGAAGACAAGUUGGAAGUGAAAUCCACGGGCUCAACCCAUGAACUGCUUUCAAACUGUUUUUCUUGAGUAGUGCAGAGGUAGGCGGAAUCCCCGGU